rnacentral:misc_RNA from 1 species
GCAAACUUGGUCAUUUAGAGGAAGUAAAAGUCGUAACAAGGUAACCGUAGGUGAACCUGCGGUUGGAUCAUUAACAAAUCCAUCUGGGCUUCAAAGCCUGUGGCCUUACGUGGGCUGCAGUGCUUUUGCCCGACACACACCUUUGUGAACUAUUGAACGUAUUUUGGUGAAGCCUCCGUGGUGGGCUCUGGCCAGCUGCGGUGGGGUGCGCAAGCGCCCGCUCGCUUCACCGACCAACACCUGUUUUCAAUAUUUGUUGUGCAUCAAUAAAGAGAAAUCAAUGAGAAACAACUUUAGACAACGGAUCUCUUGGCUCUCGCAUCGAUGAAGAACGCAGC